AAGAGACAGCAGCCGCCGCGGGAAUACAGAGGGUGCGAGCGUUAAUCGGAUUUACUGGGCGUAAAGCGUGCGUAGGCGGCUUUUUAAGUCGGAUGUGAAAUCCAUGAGCUUAACUUAGGAAUUGCAUUCGAUACUGGGAAGCUAGAGUAUGGGAGAGGAUGGUAGAAUUCCAGGUGUAGCGGUGAAAUGCGUAGAGAUCUGGAGGAAUACCGAUGGCGAAGGCAGCCAUCUGGCCUAAUACUGACGCUGAGGUACGAAAGCAUGGGGAGCAAACAGGAUUAGAUACCCGCGUAGUCCCUGUCUCUUAUAU
rnacentral:rRNA from 1 species